CCCGACUGCUAUUUGGGUGAGGAUAAGCCAUGCGAGUCGAAUGGGAUGCCUAAAAUUCCCAUGGCAAACUGCUCAGUAACACAUGAUCAACUUACCCUAUAGAGAAAAAUAACCUCGGGAAACUGAGGAUAAUGUUUCAUAAUCGAAUCGGCUUGGAAAAGUUUUUCAAUUAAAAGAAUAAGAAAAAUGGUUCUUGUUCGCUAUAGGAUAGGAUCGUGGACGAUUAUGGUUGUUGGUGAGGUAACGGCUCACCAAGCCGAUAAUCGAUAGGGGCCGUGAGAGCGGGAGCCCCGAGAUGGGUACUGAGACAACGACCCAGGCCUUACGAGGCGCAGCAGGCGCGGAACCUCCGCAAUACACGAAAGUGUGACGGGGUUACCCAAAGUGUUCAUUUUUGAACUGUGGUAGGUGAGUAAUGUUCCCUACUAGAAAGGAGAGGGCAAGGCUGGUGCCAGCCGCCGCGGUAAAACCAGCUCUUCAAGUGGUCGGGAUAAUUAUUGGGCUUAAAGUGUCCGUAGCUGGUUUAGUAAGUUCCUGGUAAAAUCGGGUAGCUUAACUAUCCGUAUGCUAGGAAUACUGCUAUACUAGAGGGCGGGAGAGGUCUGAGGUACUACAGGGGUAGGGGUGAAAUCUUAUAAUCCUUGUAGGACCACCAGUGGCGAAGGCGUCAGACUGGAACGCGCCUGACAGUGAGGGACGAAAGCCAGGGGAGCGAACCGGAUUAGAUACCCGGGUAGUCCUGGCCGUAAACGAUGCAUACUAGGUGAUGGUACGGCCAUGAGCCGUAUCAGUGCCGUAGGGAAACCGUUAAGUGUGCCGCCUGGGAAGUACGGUCGCAAGGCUAAAAC
rnacentral:rRNA from 1 species